rnacentral:rRNA from 1 species
UACGGAGGGUGCAAGCGUUAUCCGGAAUCACUGGGUUUAAAGGGUGCGUAGGCGGCUGAAUAAGUCAGUGGUGAAAGUUCUGGGCUUAACCGAGGAAUUGCCAUUGAUACUGUUUAGCUUGAAUGAGGUUAAGGCUGGCGGAAUGUGACAUGUAGCGGUGAAAUGCGUAGAUAUGUCAUAGAACACCAAUUGCGAAGGCAGCUGGCUAGGCCUUUAUUGACGCUGAGGCACGAAAGCGUGGGGAGCGAACAGG